rnacentral:rRNA from 1 species
UACAGAGGGUGCGAGCGUUGUCCGGAAUCACUGGGCGUAAAGGGCGCGUAGGCGGCCUGAUAAGUAGGGGGUGAAAUCUUGCGGCUCAACCGCAAGGCUGCCUUCUAAACUGUCAGGCUGGAGCACGGUAGAGGCAGAUGGAAUUCCCGGUGUAGCGGUGGAAUGCGUAGAGAUCGGGAAGAACACCAGUGGCGAAGGCGGUCUGCUGGGCCGUUGCUGACGCUGAGGCGCGACAGCGUGGGAGCAACAGG